UUCACCAACUUCGUAGAGUCCAAAAUUGUCACAAAAAUCCAUUCUGCAGAUUGCACUUCUAGAGAUUUCUGAAACCUCACCCCAAAAUAGAUUACCCUCCAGUUUCAAUCCAUCUACUUGUUUUCUAUUUAGCCAUAGAUACCAUUUUGAAGAAUCCAAAAUCGUGAAAGAGUUUGGUGGGUUGUGAUUUUGUCUGUUUAUUUAAUCUGAAGCAAGAAUAUUUGGGCCAAUCUUGAAAGUAUUGUCUUCAAGUUGAGAAUCAAAAUUUGAAGAAUCCAAAAUCAAGAAAGAGUUUGGUGGGUUGUGAUUUUGUCUGAUCGUUUAAUCUGAAGCAAGAAUUUUUGGGUCAAUCUUGAUAGUAUUGUCUUCAAAUUGAGAACCUUUGAUUCUCGAGGUUGAUUAUUCAAUCCAGUUCAAGAGAAUCAAGAAAUUGUGUGCUAUUUUAUUGGAAAGAUUUUGGAUUUUUGAGAAUAGUUAAGAAUUUGAUGGUUUGGGAAAUGGGGAUGAGGGUUUGUUCUUGAUAUGGGAUUGGGACAUAGAGACAAUGGCGAUGCCAUGGAAUAUGACAAUUUGGAUGGCAAGUAUGAUAUGGAUGGCACUGAGUGGUUGGAUAGUUUCUUGUUUAACUGUUGCUGAUGAAAUUGCUAAUUCCCUGCGAACUGGGGAAAUUAGCCCUUUCCAUGUUGGUUGAUCCAAGAAAAUGGCUGUGAAUUUAGCUCAUUCUCUGGUUUGAUCUUUUUUUAUUUUUUGUUUAAUAUAUAUUUGGGAAUGUAAUUUAAUGUUGAUAGGCUUCGUCGAAUUUUAUCAAUGUGUAUAGUAAUUUGAGUGUUUUUACUGAUGUGAGUUUUGAGUAUUGGAAUGAAAAAUGGCAGGAUACACGAUCUAUAUUUAUGGGGAGUAUGUUAAAUCAUUUGUUAAUUU